AUUGAACGCUAGCGGGAUGCUUUACACAUGCAAGUCGAACGAGUGGCGGACGGGUGAUUAAUCUAUCGGAACGUGCCCAGUAGGGGGGGAUAACUACUCGAAAGAGUGGCUAAUACCCCAUACUCUUGGAGGGGCCGAUAUCGGAUUAUCUAGUUGGGGGGUUAAAGGCUCACCAAGGCAAAGAUCAGUCGCUGGUUUGUGAAGACGACCAGCCACACUGGGACGGAGACACGGCCCAGACUCCUACUGGAGGCAGCAGUGGGGAAGUUUGGACAAUGGGGGAAACCCUGAUCCAGCCAUCCCGCGUGUAUGAGAAGGCCUUCGGGUUGUAAAGUACUUUUGGCAGAGAAGCGGUAUCUGCAGAAUAAGCACCGGCUAACUACGUGCCAGCCGCCGCGGUAAUUC
rnacentral:rRNA from 1 species